GUAUGGACUGAAGAAACUGAAGGGGAGGGCAGCCUCUAUAGGAAGACCAACAGUCUCGAAUCAUCCCCACCCCUGAGAUCUCCCAGACACUAAGCCACCAACCAGGGUAUCUUUGAACUUGGGACAUCUUGCCACAUUCUAGGUGCUGAGACUACAUUCAGGCAUUUUCCAGCUUUCUUUCCUUUAUCUUAGUAAGAUGUGUUAGAUUAAAUAUGUUAAUAUUAUGCAGUAAAUCCUCCAUAUGUUU